CAGAGGUCGAGCAUCGCCUGCCAGGACUC
rnacentral:sRNA from 1 species